CUGGUGACCCAUAACAACUUUACCGAUCAUAUUAAAUGCGAUAUUAGCUUUAAAUUUCUGACCUAUCAGCUGUAAACCGUGGGCUAUUGGCCGACCGUGGCGAUGACCGGCAACGGCGAACUGGGCUUUGAUAGCGGCGAAGGCGCGUAAGAAACCGCGACCACCAGCAAAGAAGGCAGCCGUCGUGCGAACUAUCCGAUUCUGAUUCAGGGCGGCAGCGAUAAAAAAUAACAGUAUCGUACCUUUUGGUUUUGCAACUGGAACGAACUGAGCAUUAACCCGUUUACCAGCAUUAACUGGCGUGCGAGCCUGGUGCCGGCGGCGGCGGUGAUUCCGGCGCCGAUUGCGUAUAUUAAAGUGGUGGCGGUGAAAAAACUGGUGGUGGGCUUUCUGCUGAUUAUUUAUAUUAAAUAUUUUGAUGAAUAUCUGUAU
rnacentral:rRNA from 1 species